UGGACUUUCUGGGGUCGAAUUGCCACUACAUGUGUUACACUGUCAAUCCAUCUCACGGACAUCCUGAUGCCUCUCUGACUGGGUUGGAGCCAAAGGCAACUAUUGAGAAAACUGGAAGAUGAAAUAUUCUUAAAGACAAUGGAGGCUAAAAAAAAAAAAAAAGACAAUGGAAGCUAAGCAAACAAGUGACACCACAGGCACACAGGACAGCCAAAGAAACAGGGACGCAGAGAACAAAACAGUCAAUGAUUUCUCCAGUGGGAGAAGAACCUUCUCAAACAGUUUGUCCACCAGGCACAUAUGGGAAGGACUGUAAACAGGUAUGUCAGUGUUCAGCUGAGAAUGAAGAGUGUCACCCAGUCACAGGGAGAUGUACCUGUCUGCCCGGCUGCCAUGGAAACUGCUGUCAUCUCUGGAAGUGUGUUCUGUGCUUUUGUUGUAAUUUAUCGAAGAGACACCGGUAGGGUGGGUCAUCAGUCAGAAUGCUAAAGGGCAAAUGUUAAUUCAAGGUUCUAAUUUAUAGCAAGUCCUGACUGUGAGAAUGUUUAUUGGAAUGGUUGAAAACCAUAUGCUUUCUUGUGUAACGCUUUCUCCUGUGUUGCCUUUUCUAGCCCAAAUAUCCCCAAGAAAAAGACAAGGAAUAGAGAAAGAGAAAGAAAGAAAGAAAGAAGGAAGAUAAUAUGAACUGAUUGUUAUCAAUCAAUAUACAACAGAUGGGAACGUAUUUAAAGUGAUUCAGAAAUUUGUCCCGAGGAUCACUAUGGGCAAGACUGUGUCCAGCAGUGUUCCUGUGGCUCAGGACAGUGUGACCUGGUGACUGGAGGGUGCCAAUGUCCACCUGGCCAAAUGGGAGCCAGGAGUCAGCAAGAAGCCCAUUGAAAGCUGCAAGAAAAAUGGGAGACAGAAAGCAAAACAUGAUCUCUGUUUAAAACUACAAAACUUUCUUGCUCUAAAUCAUAUUAUUAUCACAGUAAUAAUCAUAAUAGAAGAACUCUCAAGUUCAGUGAAAUGAAAUGCAGAAAGCCACUUCUCCAAAGCACACACAGAGACAAAACCAAUGACCUUUUGUUAGAAAAGAAGGGUUGGUAAAAAAAAAAAAAAAAAAAAAAUAGAACGGUUGGUUGCAUGAGCAUCCUGCAGGAGCUACCUUAAACCCUUCUGGACAUCACAAAGUUGCAGGAAAAAUGGGGUAAAACCAGGCAGAGCACAGACCUAUCAUCUUUUCAACCCUACACUAUUAUAGAGGAGAAUUUAUGGGCAAUAAGUAGCCUUGCAGCUAAAGGAAGCUAAGCCUACACAGAAACACACAGACCACAACUUUGUGUCACAUGGAGUUUUACUCUGGGCCUAGGAGGUUCCCAACUAGCUGAAAUAAUUCUUCUAGCCUCAAAUCCAUACUACCUUCUCCAAAAUACCUGGUUCACACAAAACUAACCUGAUACAAGAAGAUGAAAGUGAAAACAAAAACCUGAUGCAUUAAAAAAAAAAAAAACCCUCCUCUCAUUUUGGAAACAAUAUAUGAAACCAUUCAAAGUUUUGGCUACUCUUUUAGUGAAAAUUCUAUAAGAAGGGUAAAGGAGAAAAGGAAUAAGAAAACAAAAAGCAGAUGGACGUAGAGCAGAAAAAUUUUGCUAUGGUGCACAUGGAAAUAUUAACCAGAAUUUCUUCCAAGAAUUCAAUGGACAUAAUGAAAAAGUGUUCUCUACAAAUUGUGAGUGCAAUGCAGAGAUACAAAGGUUCAUGGAAUAAAUGAAAAGACAACAAAGGGAAAUGAAAAAGUAAGCUGGCAGAGCUCAGAAAGAAGUAGAAAUGAAAAUUAAACCUCACAUCAUAUAAAUGAGGACCAUAUUGAACACAGGUAAUAGGAGGAUUGAAUCUGCUUCUGUGACAGCCAGGUAAAUGGAGAAGAAGCUUGAGGAAAGUGGAAACAAAUAGACAAAUAGACAAAUAUAUAAAUGGAAAAGAAAAUAUUCAAAUAAAAUAUUUAAGAUUUUUUUCCUCUGAAAUGAAAGAAGAUCUGAUGCACAGAUUGAAUACAUUCUAUCUCUGGAAACUGUAGUUAAGAUUGAUCAUAAGCAAGGGGAAACUCCACUAGGAAUAAAAGAAAAAAAAAAGUGUGAGAUCUCAUAUAUAGAGAGGGGAAAAAAUCAGUCUGGCUCAUGGCUCACAGCAAUAAUCACAACCAUUGCUAGCAUGUGGUUAAUCAAUGCCUAUGAAGUUCUUGAGAAAAAUUUGACUCAAGUGUUUUAUACACAGUUAAACUAUUAUUCAAGUAUAGUAUGACUGAAAAUAAAUAGCUAUUUUUAAUAAUAAAAAGUUACUGAGGAUAUGUAGCCAUAAAAUAUUUUUGAAGAAACUGUAGAAGAUAAAUUUGAGCAACCAAGCAAUAAAUGGAAAAUCUCUGGUAAAAAGAGUAUCAGUGAGUAUUAAGUCUAUUUUUAUUAGAGCUAAGUUUAAAAUAAAUAUGGGAACUAUGGUCACAUGAUAUAAUAAGUAUACACAUAUUUAAUAUUAUAACAAUUUUGAUAGUUUAGCAAAAUGGACAUAAGUGGAAGGAAGGAGAAGAUGGAAGAGGAAAAGUAUAUUUCUUCAUUAGAAAUUGAAAAGGAGGGACAGAUCUGUGACAAAACAUUUCGUUUAAAUAUGACAACUCAAUAACCAUGUUUAAGUGCAUAAAGCUAAAUGCUGGAAUUUAAAAUGCUGGAGCUGAGAAUUUAAAAAUAAAAACAGCCAACUAAAAUCAGGUAGAGGAGAGGAAUGAGAAAAAUUAGGAAAAAGGAGAAACAUAUCCAUUCCAUUACCACUCAUGCUGCUGAGCCAAUAUAGGCUAAAUAAAGAAAUUAAUUAUGUUAUAUAAUAAUAUGUUCACUGUCUAAAGAAG